rnacentral:lncRNA from 10 species
AAACCCUAGGCCAGAGCUGGCAGGUUCAAAAAGGGGUGAUGCUUUAAGGGACUCGGGAGAGAGGAAGGCUCUGAGGGUUAUGGUGCCCAGGGAUUGUCUGGUCUUGGGGCAAGAAGUAAGAGGAUCUGGCUCUUGGACUCAGAUGGGUCUGGUGAGGGAGGAGGUGGUGGUGAGGGGUACAGGUUCACAGACAACAUGAUUUGGUCAAAAAGACUGGAACCCACAGAUAUCUUCAGUGUGGCCUUGUUGAUGCCCAGGAGCUCCCACUCCCACUGUGUUUGCACAGUGUCACUUGAAGUAUCUGCUAUUUCCUAUACUUCCUUGCCCCCGCCCAUGUUAUCCACUGCAGGGGAGACAAACAUUUAUUCAGCACACAUCUGCAUGACACCUACUCGUGCAGGUGUGAUGAAUUAGAAAACCAAUUUAGCUACCUUUUCCAGAUUGCCCAAUACAAUGACUUCCUUGCUGCUCAUUUGCCUCCUUUCUAUGCUGGGGUGUCUCAGAGCCUCACUCCUUUCUGUUGCAGGAUUGCUGGGGUGUCACUUUUCUGGCUGGAAACCUCUGUGGCCAGUGGUGCCUUUGUCUGAGUUUUUCUUGGGC